rnacentral:rRNA from 1 species
ACAAAACUCUUCUAAUGUUAUCCCUGAGUUACUUUUUAAUAAGUCAAAACUUUCAACAACGGAUCUCUUGGUUCUGGCAUCGAUGAAGAACGCAGCGAAAUGCGAUAAGUAAUGUGAAUUGCAGAAUUCAGUGAAUCAUCGAAUCUUUGAACGCACAUUGCGCCCGUCAGUAUUCUGGCGGGCAUGCCUGUUCGAGCGUCAUUUCAACCAUCAAGCCCCAGGCUUGUGUUGGGGCACUGCGGCUGCCGCAGGCCCCUAAAAGCAGUGGCGGACUCGCUGUCAUACCGAGCGCAGUAACAUAUCUCGCUCAGGGCGUGGCGGCGGGCACCGGCCGUAAAACACACCAAACCUAAG